rnacentral:ribozyme from 11 species
AACAAAAAUGCAACGAAAGAAAGAAAGAAGGCUUUGUGAAAGACAAGAGAAAAAAAACAGAAGGAAUGGUCUA